rnacentral:tRNA from 1 species
CAGGGGGUAUUUUAUUAUAAAAUGUUAGUUUUGGGUAUUAACGAAAUGGACUUUACUGCCUUUCCUCUGA